UACUCCUACGGGAGGCAGCAGUGGGGAAUAUUGGACAAUGGGCGCAAGCCUGAUCCAGCAAUGCCGCGUGUGUGAAGAAGGCCUUCGGGUUGUAAGGCUCUUUCGGCCGGGAAGAAAUCGCACGGGCUAAUACCCUGUGUGGAUGACGGUACCGGAAUAAGAAGCACCGGCUAACUACGUGCCAGCAGCCGCGGUAAU
rnacentral:rRNA from 1 species